rnacentral:rRNA from 1 species
AUACGGAGGGUGCAAGCGUUAAUCGGAAUUACUGGGCGUAAAGGGCGCGUAGGCGGCUCUGUAAGUCGGGUGUGAAAGCCCCGGGCUCAACCCGGGAAUUGCAUUCGAUACUGCAGGGCUAGAGUAUGGUAGAGGAAAGCGGAAUUCCCGGUGUAGCGGUGAAAUGCGUAGAUAUCGGAAGGAACACCAGUGGCGAAGGCGACUUCCUGGGCCAAUACUGACGCUAAGGUGCGAAAGCGUGGGGAGCAAACAGGAUUAGAUACCCCAGUAGUCC